UUUGUCGCUUGUGCUCUGUCACGUCUGUUCGAACAAGGGAGGAGGACGAGGAGAGGCGGCAGUUCCCCACGCGAACGGAAAGCUCUCUCACUCUCCCCCUUUAUUGCUUUUAUCUGCUUCUGCUCGUUUCUAUAGUUCUUGUCCACUGUCUUCCUCUGUUGUGUCUUAGGGUUCUUGAGUCGUUGUUGGGUCGCGGAUGAUUUCUUGCAGCCCAUAGUCUCGAGUGUUUCUUAAUUCUUAGGUUUCUGCAGAAUACUGAGUAGCAUAUAUGUGACACAUUAUUUCCUGCAACCCUUAGUGUCUCCGUUUCUGAGUUAGGGUUUUUCGAGAAUAUUGGGUGUUAAUUGCGUGACGGAUGAUUUCUUGCAACCCUCGGUUCACGUUUUGGGCUGCUCGGCUUUACUUGGGCUGUUCGCUUUAACGAAUUGUGCUUCUUGAAUCGGCUAUGGAGAUUUAGUCAGGUCGUUUGGAUAAAUAAGCUUUCGCAAAGCACUCAGAAUUUCGUUUUCUACAUCAUACCAAACUUAUUAGGAUGUGAGAAUGCUAAGCUUCCUCCAAAAAGCUACUUUUGUUGUAUGCAUAUGAAAGGUGGACAUACCACCUGCUUUAAGCAUCUGUCAGAGCUUUACAUCUAACUAGUAUUAUAAUUUGUUCCCAAGUAGAGGGUUUUUUGGCAUGGAUUUUGGACAUAUUUUUGUAACAAAAGAAGUGGUUCUAUUAAUUCAUUGGCAACUGUGACUUGCUGGAUGGUUGGGAAGUUUACUUGCUAGUGGAGGUGGAAGCACAAGUUUUAAUUCAUAGUGCCUUUAUUUGUGCCAUUGAAGGUCUAUUAGGAGCAACAUCGAUGAUCAUAAGUCAUAUGGGAGGCCCAAAUCAAGCAGUUUCAGGAAACGAUCUCGAGACCAGUUUGAUAAUGCGAAAAGGAAGAGGCAUAAUUCUAGCCAUGGUCGUGGUUCUACGACAACUAAACCUAUUGAUACUAUUUAUCGCAUACUUUGUCCUGUGAAAAAGAUUGGUAGUGUUCUUGGGAAAGGAGGUGAAAUCUCAGAGGUACGACCCAUGCAAAGAUAAGGGUUGCAGAUGCUGUUCCCGGGGUAGAGGAGAGAGUAGUUAUGAUCUUUUGUUACCUGUGGCAAUCUGAAAGAAAUGAUUCUGAUGAGGAUCCCUAUGAUAAUGAUGGAAUUGAGUUAGAGGAUAUGCGUGCCCGUUGUCCUGCACAAGAUGCUUUACUGAAGAUCCACUAUUGGAUUGCUGCAGAUGAGAUUCUACUAGGUGGUGUGAUACAAGAAAAUACUGAACCUGAUGAUGUUGUUGCUACUCGAAUUUGGUUCGCCAAGAAUCAAGUUGGGUGUCUUCUCGGCAAAGGUGGCACAAUUAUUCAGUAACUUAUUGGUGAUACUGGUGCAAAUAUUCGCAUAUUGUCUUCGGAUCGAUUUCCACCUUGUGCCAGGAACAGUGAUGAACUAGUACAGAUCUCUGAAGGACCUGCCAGCAUCGGAAAUCAAAGCCUCCCCAAACCAACUCGAAGAAUCAAAAGAACAAGCAGCAAGUUGAAGCUGGAGAGGAGGAUUUCACCCUGAUGCGUUUUCCUAGUCGUUCGAAGCAAGUCCAGCAAAAUUCAGAAAAAAGGUGAUGAUGAGCCCGCCAUACCCCACCUCCCGGGUGUCACGUGCCAAACCUCUUUGGUCAUAUUAUGCCAUCGAGUCAAAGGGUCAUUGGAGCCAUGCCGGAGUUUAGCUUGUAAUUGUUGAAUCAGGUCACCACUGCUGACCCACUUACUUUCAGAGGAUAUGAUGAUAACCUUCGCUUUAAGAGUUUUGUUCGUGUCAUCCCACUUUCCUCACCACAAAGCAGCAGUUCGUCAUCGUGCUCGCUGCAACGCACAUUACCACCACCCCACCCUCAUAAAUGAACACCAGCAGUCUCCCCCUUGCAUUCCUCCGAGUGAUUGGCCUGCAAGCUCCCAGCGAACCAGUUUCUCAUCUCUCUUGACAUGGCCAAACCUCCCAAGAAUAGGCUGUGAUGUUUGUCUUCCAUGUCUCCGCCUUCCUCGUCCUCCUCCACCUCGUCACCUUCCUCCUUACCAAGCUGUUCACCUUCCUCCUUGAAAGAGUUGCCGCUUCGACAGACCAAAGGAAUUCGCAGCUCAUCAGCGAAGAUGAGAUCAAGCCCAUAACAACGUACGAGUGCUACUCUGAUGUCGAAGAGUUAGCUGCCAGCAUCUUUGGCAGGGAAGACGGCCUACUGUUUUUCUACAACGAAAGCAUCACUGCUGAUACCCCACUUCUCGAAGAAGCAAAAGACUUCGAUGAGCGACACGCCUUCAAAGUCGACGAAAGCUUUGUCGCAGAAUCCCCUCUGGAAGACCAUGAAGGUCUCGGGCUCGAGCAUGGCGAUGUUGUGGCGAUCGUCGACCUAAAACCAUCGAAUCAUCCACCUUCAAUCAUAUCUAAUGGGCCUCUAAAAGAUGAAGAUACGGGUGGGGAUGCGCUCCACAGAAAUGAAGAUGAGAAGCAGCAGGAGUUGUCAAAGAAAGAGAAACUCUUCAUCGUCGACCGAACCCAUUCUGUCGACAGCAAAAGGUUGCAGCUGGAGGAGGACACGUUCGGUGGUUCUCUCACAGGUGCAUCGACAUCCAAGAGCUCUAUGGAGUGGAGAAGCUCCACGAUCUUCAGGGACUCGGAGACAGAAUGCCCCUUCUCCUCCUCAUCACGCAGGAGCUCUUCCAACUGGGAAACGUACACCUUGUUCCGCAAGUACGACGAGGAGAUGAUGUUCUUCGAUAGAAUCAGCGCACAAAAGCUGACGGAAACAGAAUUGUUUACAUCGAUGAAGUUCCAACCAAGAUCAACCUCGCAAAGGAUAGCUCACAUAUUUACAACACACAAGAACAGGGGAAGCACGGAUCCGUAUCAAGAACUGGAGGGUGCUUAUGUGUCUCAGAUUUGCCUCGCAUGGGAAGCUCUUAACUGGAAUUACACCAACUUCCGGCGAAGGAUUGCCAAGGGAUCAGACAGCGAAAGCUCUUCUUGCACCGCAUGGAUAGCUCAGCAAUUCCAACAGUUCCAGGUCCUCUUGCAGCGAUUCAUAGAAAAUGAGCCUUAUGAGCGCGGUCGGAGGCCCCAAGUCUUCGCUUGGAAGCGGAUUUCUUCUCCAAAGUUGCUCCAAGUUCCUGAGUUCCGAGACACAGAAGCAGAUGAAGGUAAAGAAGAAAUGAUCUCAUCCACCGAGUUCUUGGCGAUUCUCGAAGAUGCGAUUCGAACCUUCAUGAACUUCCUCAAGGCAGACACGACGAAUCCUUGCCAAAUGCUCAAAGCUUUCUUCAAGACAAAGCCCAGUUCGGUGGAUCCAAAUCUUCUUCGUCUUCUCAAAAGAACUAAUAAGAAAAACAAGACGAGGCUUAAGGAUCUCUCGAAGCGAAGAAGGUGUCUGACGAAGAAGAAGCGAAAAGGAGAAGAGGAUAUGGAGAUAUUGAUGGGUCUAAUAGACAUGAAGAUCGUGUCCAGAGUCCUAAGGAUGCCUGAGAUCAGCCAAGAGCAGCUGCGGUGGUGCGAGGAGAAGAUGAGCAAAGUGAAAGUAUGGGACGGCAAAAUCCAAAGAGAUUCGUCCCCACUUUUCUUCUUCCCUGUUCGCUGACUCCAACGUCGCCAGCGUCGUGUAAUCUGCUUUGCUUUAGGUUGCCUGAUGACUAGAUAAAGCGCCUGGAUAUACAUGAGAACAUGCAUCCCACCCUGACCUUGUCACUGCAAAGACAGAGACAGGUGCCCACAGUUGGACAUGGGUGCAUGCAUGUUGGUGUGACUUGGAGAUCGAGGUUUUGGGAUGCAAUGUUGGGUAGAAAAAGGAGAAAAGUGUUUAGGGACUCCUGUGACCAUUGAGUGACAAAACAAAAGUGACAUAUAUAUUAUAUAUGUAUAUAUAUAAUACAUAGAGCAGAGGGAGAGAGAGAGAGAGAGAGAGCGAAGCGCACCUUUAGCUUUUUGCUUUACGUGGCUACGUUUCUUGGUGGAUAGGGCUCCCACAAAAGAAGAAGCUGGCAGGCAGCAAACAAACACUAAUAACAGCAGUUCUUUCUUUCAUGCCAAGUCUAUUUUACAGUGUCACCUUUGUUUUCGUCAAACCAGGAUUAUGGCACUAAUUAUACUUUAAGAUAUCCAUGAGGGCAUCGUGUUCGGCUUGACUAAGUUUACGUGGUCUUUGUGAGAGGAUAAUAAAUAGUUCGGCAUAAAUGUGUAGCGAUAUGUAUUUAAUACUAAGCACAUGAGAAAUUGUAGAUCAUAGGGACGUUGAUUGAUCUGACCAAUGGGGCCAACAUUAGUGGACGGUCUUGAUGUAAAGCUGGACCUCCCCCCCAAAGUGGAGGCUGAAUUGGAGCCACUGAUUCUGGUGGGGCCUAUCUCAGCGGACACCAUGCAAAGGGGAGUAUUUAAGGUUGCAGAGGGUCCACUGCCAGCGGAGAGCCCCGACGGCACGUCACGCGUCUCGUCCUCCGCUUUCGCCUGUCUCGUGCGAGCGUUUCUUGGUAAAGAUUCGAUCUAGGGUUGGAAUGCACAAAUCAUUCAAGAGGAGUUGCGGUGUCGGUCGACCGCAGCAGCACCGGCGUGGGCGGUGAUUAGUCGGGAGGCGACUCGUGGAGUUGUCGCCCGGCUCCGAGGGGUUGGCCUCACGCCUUCAUCAACCGGCUUUGCUCGGAUCGGUGGCUGCUUCUUCCAGAUGUGGUGGGACUGAACUGGCUUUCGGUGAACCAACAAGUUGAGCCUUCGGAUCGCUUAAAAUACUUUGUUGCAUGGUUCUUACUGUCUGUUGUAACGUCUCUAGAACCGGAGAGCGCAAAUAUUGUGCUUUGGGUGAGCAACACAUUAUAUAGGAGAAAGUAAUUUAGAGCUUUCGGCUCACUAUAAAUACUUUGUUGCAUGGUUCUUAUGGUCUGUACUUUGUUGCGUGGUUCUUAUGGUCUGUUGUAACGUUUCUAGAAGCAAAUAUUGUACUUCUUUACUAGGUUAGCAACACAUUAGAUAGGAUAAAGUAAUUGUAACUCUAAAGCUUAGUUUUGAUCUUAAGAAUGCCUAAUCACUAGUUGAGUUGA